UGACGACCAUAGAGCAUUGGAACCACCUGAUCCCAUCCCGAACUCAGCAGUGAAACGAUGCAUCGCCGAUGGUAGUGUGGGG
rnacentral:rRNA from 1 species